AUUGAACGCUGGCGGCAUGCCUUACACAUGCAAGUCGAACGGCAGCAUAGAGAGCUUGCUCUCUGAUGGCGAGUGGCGAACGGGUGAGUAAAGCAUCGGAACGUACCGUGUAGUGGGGGAUAACGUAGCGAAAGUUACGCUAAUACCGCAUACGCACUGAGGUGGAAAGCAGGGGAUCGCAAGACCUUGCGCUAUACGAGCGGCCGAUGGGAGAUUAGCUAGUUGGUAGGGUAAAGGCCUACCAAGGCGACGAUCUGUAGCGGGUCUGCGAGGAUGAUCCGCCACACUGGGACUGGGACACGGCCCAGACUCCUACGGGAGGCAGCAGUGGGGAAUUUUGGACAAUGGGGGCAACCCUGAUCCAGCCAUGCCGCGUGAGUGAAGAAGGCCUUCGGGUUGUAAAGCUCUUUCGGCCGGGAAGAAAUCGCACAGGCUAAUACUCUGUGUGGAUGACGGUACCGGCAUAAGAAGCACCGGCUAACUACGUGCCAGCCGCCGCAGUAA
rnacentral:rRNA from 1 species